rnacentral:lncRNA from 1 species
AAAGACGGUGUUAUAAAUAUAUACGCGCAUAUCCCCUAUAUAAAUUAUUAUAUUAUAUAGGGCUACGACAAUUGCGUCUAACGCUCACGUCGCACCAUAAUGGAAUUUUACCUCAGUAUGGUGGAAAAGCACGUAUAGCUAGCUAGCAUUUCUUCAUAUACAUAUUAUUCUCAUAAUCAUCCAAAUAUGGAUAUAUAUACAUACUCAACGACAUAAAUUAUUCCGCAUGCACAUUAUUUAAAAUAAAAGUCCACUCACAAAUUAGGCCUAAGCCUGAUGACGCUCCGAGGCUUCCUCUGCUCGGGCCUCCUCUCGUCCUGUUCCAAAUAUAUAAUUAAUUUCCCACUAAAAAUCCAAUAAUUAAACAAAAUGGGUAAAAUUAAACGUGAGCCUCCCACACACUCAUCAUUGCCCAAAUUCGCCAUUCUUAACUCAAUACGGCUCAAACUUCACCGAACAAACCGGCAGCCGUAAAAACAUCUUCCCACAAAAUACGACUUAAAUCCUACGGCCGGAUUUUACAUUAAUUAACCGCCAAAAAUAUCAAACUUCAGAAAUUCACAAACCUAUCCAAAACUCAUCCAAAAAUUCCAUAAUUCACUUCAAUAAACUCCCAUUAAUAUUCCAAAUUUAAAAAUAUAAAAAUCUCCCAAACAGCUCCGGCGCCGGCGCCGGCUCCGCGGGCAGCGGCGGCCGGAGGCCGAUUCCGGCGACCUCCAAUUCCUAUGAAAUUUUGAUAGCAUAAUCCUCUCAUCAUGCUCUACAAAUUUCCUCACUAGCACAAACCCAAAAUCCAAGCCUAGCUAUGCCAAUCGAACAAAAACAUCAAAAACGCCCUAGAGCUUCCACCUCAAAUUUCUCCUUACCUGAAGCAAACCGGAGUGAGCCAUUUUAGGGCAAGGCAGCUGGGUUGAAGUCCUACAAAACCGUACCAAGCUUGCCCGGAUUGGUGGCCGGAGGAGGGAGUUCCGGCGAAAAGCUUCCCGGCAUCUCCGGUGAGUUUUCUCUUCUUCCAGCGGGCUAACGGCUCGGGGGCUAGGCCGGGGAGGGAAAUGAGGAGAUGGGGGUCCGAACUGGGGUGGAGUGGUGGCUGGUGGCUGGCCGGACGGCGGCAGCUAGCAGCUGGAAGUUUCUGGCGAAAGGGGAGAGAGCACGGGAAGGAGAAGGAAGAGAAAAGAGAGAAGAAGAGAAAGAGAGGGAAAUGGGUUGGGCCUCUCAACCGGUCCAACUCCACCAUUAUACCCAACUCCCACAAAAUAAAACACCUCAAAAAAAUAAUACCCGAAUAAAAAUUACCUUUUACUAGCUAAAAUAUACCAUUUUUACCGUCGUCAUAUUUUCCUCCUACGAAUAAUCCUCCGCACAUAAUCGUCCCCGAAACCCCUCUAGAGACUAAUUAAACUAUUAACUCAAUGACGAAGACGGUAAAAUUCUUAUUAUAACCAAGCUAGUAAAUAAGGUAAAAUAUAAGGGUCGGGAUGUGACAGAUAUGACCGGUUGAAGAGGAGAUAAUUUUCACCUUCCAAUCAUUCCUUUACAGCAAGGCCAGUCCACCUCCUCCGUUAAGACUUUUGUUAACUGAAAAACACCCAAAAGACCCAUCUAGCUUUCUCAAAACACCAUCCAUCUGAUCAACAUUCUUCCUAGUUUCCAUAAUGAAAACUAAGUGCGGCCUUCUUUCCCUGAGAAUUUCUCUCAAGGCUCUUAAUUAACGUUUGAGGGGUGCCAAGUCCCUGAACGUUCCAGCACAAAACUAACAUUGCUCGUGAUGGGUUAGAAAACCGGAACUCAUCAUGGUGUCAGCCAUACAAACAUUAGAAUCAGUAAUUUUAGAGGUCUCCAUCGCAGGGGCAGAUGGAUUAACUACUUUCUCUGCCGAUUUCUUUUCUUCCAGAAUGGUAGCAGAGAGAUGAAUAGGGUUUGUUGCAGUUGAACGAAAGGGGUUGCUGCCCAGACAGGCUAGCAUACUACACAUUUGUUACACGAGACAGGUUAGAGAAAAUAACCUUAGCGAACUACACAUUUGUUACAUGAGACAGGCUAGCAUACUUAUCAACAUAUAAUUUUUUUUUCUUUUUAUUUACCUAUUCAGAUUCUUACACGUGAUAUAUUUUAUUUUUACAGAUUUAACAACAAAUUUACACUAAUAUAAGUAACUUCGCUUAGAGCAUGUAAAUUUAGUUCAGAUCUUGUAAUUACAACAUACAGACAUUCAUUACGAAACGUUGUAAAAGAUGUAAUUAUUUUUUCAAUACAAAAGACACCACCUAAUUACAAAACCGAGAACUCUAUUAUAUGAAUGAAGAAGACAUAUGCUUUAUUUGGUCUAAAUCUGAAAAUUUACUAUCUCAACAACACAUUCGUCCUUAAUUUUGUAAAACAUGUUAUAAAUUUGUAAAUCUGAUUCAUACCUCGUAAUUACAACAUAUAUACAUCAUCUAUUACAAAAGUUUCAACCAAAUGUUCUUGUGUUUGUAAAAGCGUUGUAAAAGAUGUAAAUAUUUUCUCAAUACACAAGACAAUACCCAAUUACAAAACCGAGAAAUAUAUUACGUGAAUGAAGACAAAUGGUCUAUUGGUCUAAAUAUGAAAAUUUAUCAUCUCGACAACACAUUCGUCCUCAAUUUUGUAAAAGGAGUAUUUAAUCUAUACAUUUGGUCCAGACCUCGUAAUUACAACAUAUGAACAUUUAUUAUAAAAUUUUCAACCAAAUGUUAUUCUAUUUGUAAAAAAUAUUCAAAAAAAACCACGGUAUAAAAAACAUGUGGGUACUCUAAAAAAUUUGAGGACGAUUAUUCAUUUUGAAGAGCAACACAAACAAAACAUUGAGAACAAAACUUUUAGCUCGAAAAUAUGUCACCAUAUUCUUCGCUCUAUGGAUGUGAGAGAUGAGAGGUGAAUCAAAUUGAGUCAUAAUCUAUUUUCAAUAUAACAAUUGUGAUUGUAAGUGUGUGAAUUCACCUUAUUAGGCAGUAAUAUCGUUAGAUGCAAACUAACAAAAAAAGUUUUCUGAAAUAUGGACGUCACUCCAAUUGUAUUGAUAAUAGAAGGAGAACAAAAUAAACACGAUCCGCCCUCUCGGGCUACGUUAGAAAUGAACCAUGCAAAAACUACCUAAAAACUAGACAGUUCUCUAUGCUGCAGACCAUAGCAUGUAACCCAACUAAAAAAUAAUCAUUUUUUAUCAUAAAAACAUAAAAAUUAAUUGAUGUAGAUUUUUUUUUUUGUUCAACGAGAUGUAGAUGUUCAUAUGCCAUUGUUGUUUUGUCCUUGAGAUAUAAAAACUAUAACGACUAUAAAAUUAGCAAUAUAUGCAAUUAAAAUUAGUUGUUACAAGAAUGAAUUUUAACAUCUUCAAGACAUUAGGGUAAAGGAUAUUGAUUAUCUUCUUGGGGAGUAUCAGGUGUUGGAUAAGCAAAAUGAGAGUCCAUAUUAUUGAUUAGAAUGCAAUCUCGUUGUUGGAUAAGCAAAUGUAUUAUCAGCUGACUGCUAAUGCAGACUUCUCGACUCUAACCAGUGUGGAAACCGUUCCUAGAUACUAUUGUUGAAGCGUGGGAGUUGAAGAAAUACAAGAAGCUUGCUCGUUUCAUUCUUAUUGAUGAGCAUAUUCUUAUACAUAACCGUCCCUGCAAGCUUGUGAAUGUUCACAUUUGCGCCCCUUCAACAAGGUGGUUAUGGAUAUUGUUUCAUCGGUAUAUAUAUAUAUAUAUAUAUAUAUAUAUAUAUUAAGGACUAUAUGCUUGAAGAUGUUGUGAGUUAUUUUAUCACAAUCUUGAGGUUCCUCAUGUUGUCCAGGCAGAAUUCUAUGUUAUUGAUAUAUCUUAAGAUGAAUAUAUGCUACUAUUGAGUGACAACGGUAACGUUCGAGAUGAUGUGAGGAUUCCAUAUGACCCGAAUCUACUUGCAUAAAUUACUCAUAGGUUUGAGGGAGGUAAUAACCCCGUUGUCACGGUGAUAUCCUCAAUGGGUGAGGAGAGGGUGAUUUAUGUACACUGAUGGGCAUUUUCAGGUCAUCAUGUACACUGAAUUAAGGAGGCUGAAUUUCGGUGGUGGAUGAGGCAAAUGAAAUAGUUUAUCUAUUUCCUUUUAUUCCUCCUUAGCUAAAUUUUGUAUUGAUGAUUUUGUAUUGAUAUUAAAGAUUUUGUUUUCCUAUGGUACUCUACUUAGAUUAACUAGAAUCAUAUUUGCCCAAAAAAAAAAUUGAAUUUCAAUAUCUGAUUAAUUACAAACCAUAUGUGCAAGUAAAUCAUAGAUUAUACUAUUAACAAUUCAACAUCUGAGCGGCGACUCUGCGAUCAGAUGCGUUGCUCUUUGGUUUGAGCUCUUAGUGGCUUCAAUUCAAUUCAUUGCUUGUGGGUUAGGCCUUGUUUGGCAUAGGUCUAGGUCUUUUUUAGUUGUUUUUGUAGUUUUGUUUUUUCCGUUGUUGGUUGGUUCUGGUUGUCUAGUUGUCCCUCCUCUUUGAGCGAGGGUUUAGGGUUUUGGUAGGUUGGUGUCGUUGGUCAGUAGGUGUGUCAUGAAUCAUGAUUAUGGUGUCAUAUCCAAAGAUUAUUUUAACGUCGGUUAUCUCUUGUUGUCAAUGUAAUGAGGAGGUUGCAUGUACAUAUAUGCUGGUAGUUUUAGCAUAUAAUGUUUGAAAGGUUAGUUCUUUUUAAGGUUGACUGUGAGAAUGUAUCAAGGCUUAUGGAUUAGGUUAGGUUACGGUUGAACCAUUUUCGGUUCUUGUCCACUGUAAUCGCUUGUUUGGUAGGGAGGAGAGUACGAAUUUUAUGUCUACCACUGAAAUCCCAUGGUUGUAACAUUGGAUUUUAUAAUAUAAUAAUUUUUCCCAAAAAAAAAAUUGAUUUUUCAGUUUUUCUUUGUAAAAGUUGAAAAUAUUUUCAUUUUCCACGUUUUCAAAAAGAACUAAUUUCAGUUUACACCCUUCAACUUUAGGUCAAUCAUCAUUUAGUCUUUUUUUCUUUCAAUUUCAUCAAAACACCCCUCGACUUCCAAUUUUCAUUAGCAGUGGGCAAACAUCCGUUUUCCAUCCAAUUCCUCCGUUAUAUGAUGACUUGCAUUUAGAAGAAAACCAAAUUUGAAGUCACUGGGCCCACAAAAAAAUGGUAAAAUAGACAAAUUGCAUUCAAUCUCACUAAAAUCACUAAGGUUAUGGGGUUGUGAUGGAAACUGAGAUGUGUAUCGAUAUAAGGGAAAAAUGGUCUGAAAAAUUAUUUUUUCGGAAGUUGACUUUCUUCUUGAUGCCACGUCAUCACUUGACUGAGAAAUUGGAUAGAGAAUGGAGGUUUGGACACGGCUGAUAAAAAUUGGGAGUCGAGGGGGUGUUUUUGAUGAAAUUGAAAAAAAGACUAACAUGAUGAUCAACCUAAAAUUGACAGGGGUAAACUGAAAUUAGUUCUUUCAAAAAUAUCUCACCGAACACAUUUUCAUCUCAUUUUCAUUUCUAAAAAUGAAAAUACAAGCAUAAAAAUGUUACUGAAUGCCACCGAAUUAAUGUUAAUGUUAUAACAAACCUUUCAUUGCCUAAAAGGAAAUUAAAGAGAUAGCAACUUUAGCUAGCUAGAUCUAUGUUAGACCAUAAUUUACACAUGUUUAUAUUCCCCUAAACUUUGACUUUAACUUGUUUUUGAGUUCAUUUUAGCUUUCACUAAAUCAUUUAUCUAGGUAAAAUACAAGAGUGAAGGAAACAUUGAUUUUUGGUAUUAAUAUGAAAAAUCGGAGCUAAGAAGAAUUGCAGUUCAAUGUGGAGCGAAACGUAAAUUUCCGAAUUCUGGCGAACCACCACUAUUGGUGGCACAAAUGGCGGUCCACCACUUUUCCGGUCAUCAUAUAUGAGGAGCAAGGAGAAGAAUGGUGAUCGAGUAACAACAUAAAAUCCAUGUUAUAAUCCUUUGGAUGAUAGGCAUCACCAUGCACACAUGCUUUCUCAUGUUUGUCCACUUGAUUUAGGUGACUCAAAACUAUCUCUACACGUUUUCUCUUCUUGUUCCCAAUGCAUUUGAAAAAGCUAAUUGCCCUUUCACUCUCUCUUUAGUCAUCGAUCUUUUCUUACUCUACACUCUCAUAACUCAUUAUUAUGUACUUCUUUCUCUUCUCUAACAUUCCAUCUCUUUUUAUUGACUUUUGUUACUCUCUUUUUUCCUUUCCCUUGCUCCAUCCGGAUGGAACAAAGAGGAGUGCCUCAUUUCUCUCUUUUUUCUCUCCCACUUUCCAUCAUCUUUUCUCUUUAUAUAUUCAUCAUUCACCCACUCACCCAUUCUCUCUUUUUUUCCUCCAUCUCCACCACAAACUUCCAUCUCAUCUCUCCCAAAAUCCAAACACACAAACCAAAUCUACUCCAUCACCACCACCACAACUACCAUCUUCCACCACCAUAAACUCCAUAACCACCACCACUAUUCCAUAUCACUAUCACUCAAAAUUAGGCAAAGAAGCACCCAUCUCUUCAUCUCCAUUCCAUUCAUCAUCAACAAGAACUCUAUCAGCCAUCCAUUUCACCAUCAAGGAGGAUCCAAGGAGCAUAGAUUGAGAAAACCCAUGGAGGAGCAAGCCAUUAACUUGUCAAACUUCAACUAGUUUACUCUUUCCUUAAACUCCUGAAUUUUUCUUGAUGUAUAUUAGAUUUAGUGUUGAUUUGUAUUGUUAUGAGUGAGUAGUAACUUUGUUGGGGUUAGGGUUGAAAGGCCUAACCAAUCUUGUAUGGAUUGAUGCUAUUUUAUGAUGUGAUGCAAUUUUAGUUAACAUUCAUACAUGUUAGUUCAAGAGUUGAAUGUAUAUGCUUAGAAUUUACCACUUUGAGUAUGUGUGUUUGUCAUGACAUGAUAAUGUUUAGAGCUUGGUAACCUUUGAAUGUUAAAGCAUGAAAGCACACUAGGUGUGCAUGUAGGAGUUGUGAAUUACAAUCACUUAGAGAUAAGCUUGGUUGGUUUGCAUAGUUUCUUCAUAUCCAAACUUUAUGCACUUAGGGUAAUGCAUUAGAUGUCUAACCGGAUUGAAAUACAUGACUUAAGUAGUUAAGUAUUACACCCGAGAGAGGUUGCUUGAUACCACAAAAAGAACAUGUCCUUUGUCAUACCUGAGAGGGAUGCAAGGAGAGAAAUUGGUUGAUUAGCUUAACAUCAUUCAUAUUGAUUUGCAUCAAUACUUGUAAGAGAGGUUAGUGGUAGACAAUUCGAAUCCUAGCACCACCAUUCGUUAGACCUGACACGACCCACCCCGAAUUUCACCCUGAAACCCAAAAUAAAUCCUGUGAGGACCACCUCCAAGGAAAGUUUACCGAAAAAUCGGCAUAACCUCCCUUAAAAAUGGACAACCCUUCCUAAUAAUACCUGCAUACACUUCUGAUAAACCAAAUCCAACCUUAAACUCCUGGAGCCUUCAUGCUCCCCCAAAUCACAAUAUCUCCCAAUUAUUUAAAUAUCUACACAAAUCUCAUAUCCAACCAUUUAUAGGUUCAGAGCAACACUAAUAGGAAGAAAGGAAACAUGAUAAAUUAACAAGCGGAAGCUAUAUGAUGACUAUGCCUCAUCCCCAUUUACGCCCGACCUCAACUAUGCAAUCCUGCAACUGGGCAUUUUAAAACGAAGGGCCCAGGGAAAAACAUUUGAAACCGUUAGAGUGAGUGGACAAAAACAUAAAUUUAAUGAAAAUAUUUAUGUUUUCCCAAUUUACAUUUUCAUAGAAAAUAUGCUGCAUGCAACAGCUCAAAAACGCUCAACACAAAAACUGGCAAUUUCAUGACUAGUUCCGGCCAGUCUCCAAAACUCAAUAAAAUACAGCCUAUCAGGCUAAAAUAAAAUAUGUAUGUAUUACACUCGUCAUAUCCCUUGUAUGAAUUUUCUUGAAACAACAAAGACAAAUAGAAAAUUCACAUAAGGCUACGACGCUUGCGUCUAACGCUCACGUCGCACCAUAAUGGCAUUUUACCUCAUUAUGGUGGAAAAGACGGUAUAUAAAUAUAUACGCGCAUAUCCCAUAUAUAAAUUAUUAUAUUUAUAUAGGGCUACGACGAUUGCGUCUAACGCUCACGUCGCACCAUAAUGGAAUUUUUACCUCAGUAUGGUGGAAAAGCACGUAUAGCUAGCUAGCAUUCUUUCAUAUACAUAUUAUUCUCAUAAUCAUCCAAAUAUGGAUAUAUAUAUAUACUCACCGAAAUUCUUCAUUUCGGUUAUUCUCCAACAAUAAUGAAAAUUGCCAAUUAUCAUAAAAAGCAAUACGCACACGACUCUACCGAAAAUCUCAUUUUCGGUAACUUUGCAAAUAACACGCUAGCCAUUAAAAAUGAGAACAUUUACUUCUGAAAAUGACUUCGUGAAAAUAAACAAUUCCACAAAUUGAUAUUUAAUAAAAUCAAUCAUUUAAUGUAGAAUCACCGCAUGCAUAUAUUUUAAAACAAAAGUCCACUCACAACUUUAGGCCUAAGUCUGAUGUCGAUCUGGGGCCUCGCCUGCUCGAACCUCCUCAAGUCAUGUUCCAAAUAUACUAUUAAUUUCCCAACUAACAAUCCAACAUUUAAUCAAAAUAGGCAAAAUUAACCGAGAGCCGUAACUACGCUCAUCAUUGCUUAACUUCGAUAUUCUUAAAUCGAAACGAUCCGAACUUAAAUAUCAUACUCGGCAGCCGUAAUUACAACCUCCCCAAAAAUACGACUUAAAUCCUACGGCCGGAUUCUACAUUAAUUAACCGCCAAAAAUACCACACUUCGGAAAUUCAUAAACCUAUCCAAAACUCAUCCAAAAAUUCCAUAACUCACUUCAAUAAACUCCCCUUAAUAUUCUAAAUUUAAAACCCUAAAAAUCUUCCAAACAGUGGCGGCUCCGCCGGCAGCGGCGGCCGGAGGCCGAUUCCGGCGACUUCCAAUGCCUAUGAAAUUUUGACAGCAUCUAGCAUCAUGCUCUACAACUUUCCUAACUAGCACAAACCAAAAAUCCAAGCCUAGCUAUGCCAAUCGAACAAAAACAUCAAAAUCGCUCUAGAAUUUCAAAUUCAUAUUUCUCCUUACCUAGCUCAAGAGAGGGUGAGCUGUUUGGAGGGGUUGCUGCACGGGAGGAGGGCUACAAAACGAGCUAAGGAUUGCCGGUUUUGGUGGCCGGAGGAGAGAGUUCCGGCGAGAGGACCACCACGGCAGCUAGUGGCUCCGGGCGUCGAUCCUCACUCACGGCGGCGCUAGGGGAGGUGUCACCGGUCCAGGGAUGUAGCUGGGUCGGAGGCCGACCGAACGUGACCGGUGCGGCAGUCUCAGGCGACCGGACGGCAGCGGACGAGCGGCCGGAAAGUUGGGCAGCGGAGGACUCGGGGAGAGGAAAACCGGGAAGAAAAAGAGAGAAGAGAAGAGUGGGUUUUGGGCCUCCACCCAAACCGGUCCAAGCCUAAUAUACCCAACUCCACUAAAAAUAAUUACACCCCAAAAUAAUACCCUAAUAAAAAUUACCUUUUACUAGCUAAAAUUUACCAUUUUUACCGUCGUCAUAACUUUCUCCUACGAAUAACUCUCCAAAAUAAUCGUCCCCCGAAACCCCUCUAGGGACCAAUUAAACUAUUAUCUCAAUGACGGAGACGGUAAAAUUCUUAUUAUAAUCAAGCUAGUAAAUAAGAUAAAAAUAUAAGAGUCGGGAUGUGACAAGACCACUAGUUUAGUUUAGAGUAAUUUAGUUUACAUUUAAGCAUUUAGUUUAGUUUAGUUAACUACUUCAAAAACCCAAAAUCAAAUCACUACUCCAUGUUGCACAUACUCACCAUGAGCCUAGAUUUCCUUGUGUGUUUAGGUUUGUGAUUGUACAUUUGCACAUUCUAGCUCUCUUAAGGUUAACACCCUAGCUAGUGAAAAGAAUCCAAUCCUCGUGGGUUCGACAACUUUUCUUAAUCCCUAUACUAUUACUUGUACCCCUUAUACUUGAGGGUGGUUUUUUGGCUAACAAUCUAUGUUAG